rnacentral:rRNA from 1 species
CAGUCGCCGCGGGAAUACGUAGGUGGCAAGCGUUGUCCGGAAUUAUUGGGCGUAAAGGGCUCGCAGGCGGUUUCUUAAGUCUGAUGUGAAAGCCCCCGGCUCAACCGGGGAGGGUCAUUGGAAACUGUGAAACUUGAGUGCAGAAGAGGAGAGUGGAAUUCCACGUGUAGCGGUGAAAUGCGUAGAGAUGUGGAGGAACACCAGUGGCGAAGGCGACUCUCUGGUCUGUAACUGACGCUGAGGAGCGAAAGCGUGGGGAGCGAACAGGAUUAGAUACCCCCGUAGUCCCUGUCUCUUAUAC